UGCAAAAUUGUAUCAUUACCGAUGUAAGAUUACCUUGACGCUGGGAGGAGCCAGCCCACUCGUAGAUGCCUUCGCUAAUUAGGUGCUCACCUGCGAGCGGUUUCCACUUUGAACAAGAAGGGCGCGGUGAGCAGUGGGGCUCGACGGCGUGAUGCUCGGCAGAGAUUUUUGUCGCCCUGUCCUCCUCUCCCCUGUACACUUGGCGAUUAGAAGGUGACAGAGGCGGCGGCUGUGGACCCCGUGGUGAAGGGGCGGAGGGGACGACAAUUUGGGGUGCGGCUGCGCUGGCCACUGCAAAUCCAGCCCUGCUCUAUCGGAGAAGGCGCCACCAACAAGAAGACGGCGGUGACUGCCCUCCUCCGUAUGCUGCAAAGGAACUGCUGACGAGGGAGAUUAGAAGAAGCUGGACGGCAAUGGGCUUUUUAUCAAAGAAGAAGAGAAGUAGCACAAGGCUCCUGAGGAGGAGGGGUUAUCUUCUUUGAUCAAGCCAAGGGUGCUACCUCUGUCUCUUCUCUGUUUUAGAUUAAUAGUCCCUUCCUUUCUUUGAGCUCCACUGUUUUUGGAUGAACGGGACUAGCCCCUCUUUUAAUCAAUUAAUUUCUCAUGGAAAUAAGAUAAAGUGAAAUUUAAUUGGAGGGUGCAUAAUUAGCUCUUUUUUCUUUCUGAUGGAGGUUGCAUCAUUUUUUGAGGCGAGAAUCCCUAGUCCAGUGUUGGCUCUCUACUUGCCAUAGGCGAGAAAGAAAUUAAGUAGGGUUAAUUAAGCAUGAUAACAUGUCUACCUGUAUAUUUAAUUAAACAUGAUGGGGUGCUUACUUAUAAUUUGUAGCUAUUAGGUUGGAUCAUGAUUUACUCAUUUAGUUGUUGUACUUUGCUAGUUUCUCACUGCUCAUUUGAUAACAAGAGAAAAUUAAACUCCAUGUAUAUGUAUCAAAAGAUACAGAAACAUUAAUGCUCCACAAUUUAUAGACAAAUAUGCAUGUGAGUGCCUGAAUGCUUGAUGCUUCUUUUUGAGACCGGCAAAAGCUAGCUAGCAUAUAUAUAGUAUAAAAGGGUCAUAUAAUCUAUAACAAAAGGAAGGCAUGAUGAUUAGUGUCUUUCUUUAAUUGAUACUAAUAAAUUCUGAAGCUGCAGAGGUGUAAUUCUUUUGUUUUGAUUGCCUGAUGUUUCCUUUCUUUCCUCAUUUGAUAUCCAAGCUGCUGAGGUGACACAUACUAUACUGUUGGAGAAAUUGUUGUGAAGCUUAGCUUGUAUGAGAGUCAUAGAGAAGAUGUCGUGUCUUUCCACACAAUUUUCAGAAUGCUAACUAAAAUAGUUAUACUAGCCAUUUUAUAUUGCCACGGUAGGCCGGAUCGCCCUCUGGUCACUCUGCAUUUGGCGCCUGCCUGCAACAUGAACAGCAACCUUGGUGUACAUCUCAGUCAGGAUCGGAGGAAGAUUUACGCGUACUUGUGUCAUGCCAUUUGUAUUACAGCCCAUUGAUAAUAAUGUUUAAGUCACUAGAGAGAUUGCUCAAUAGAUGAAGUUGGUGUAAAAUUUCUAGUCACCUCCAAAUUAAGCUGCUUGAACAUCAAGUUCGGUAGUAAUCAUCUUUCAAGUUAAGUAGUAUUCAUGUGUAUUACGGAGCUAUCUAUUGAUGUCGCCAAGUGCUUAGGGAAUCAUGGGGGUUGGUUUUGUUCAUCAUUAACCCAUUCUUUCAAAUUUUCAGAGCUAUCUAUUGAAAUAUGAUUACUUUCUUUGUCCGUGGGAACUUUUUACCACUGCCAUGGAUAAGCGUCUAUUUGUUUCCAUCUAAUAUUUAUUUAGUUCCUUCUAAUAUCUAUUUAGUUCCUUGUAACAUGUGGUUGAUGGAUUAUGGAGAUUACCUUUCAUACUAAUGCUUUUCUUUUCAUCUUACAGCUUUUCUUCCUUACAUUUUCCCAUGCAUCUCUCACAAAGAAACAUGACAGAGAAGUCACGAUGAGCUACAAUAUAUGUGUACAUGGAACAGUUCUCCAGGCCCUGGAACCUUUUUCAGUAAUCCUUGCUGAAACUGUAGGGUCAUCCAGAUGUCGAUGUUGCAAAGGCUAACUGGAAAUACAGCAAAAACUGUAGGGUCAUCCGAUGUGGAUUUGGCAACAUCUAAUUGGAAAUAAAAUGUCGGCAGUUUGGCAUGGCCAAACCACUACCCAUCUCACUUAGUUUUCUCUACAGACUAAAUUUCUACGUGCUACUUUGUCAAGCAGUGUAACAAAUUUAUUGUCUCUGUGAUUUAUAUGUGAACUCAGAUCAUC